GAUGAACGCUAGCGGCAGGCCUAAUACAUGCAAGUCGAACGGUGUCUUCGGACAUAGUGGCGCACGGGUGCGUAACACGUAUGCAACCUACCUUACAUUGGGGGAUAGCCUUUCGAAAGGGAGAUUAAUACCGCAUAAGACAGUAGCUGGGCAUUCAGCAGCUGUUAAAGAUUUAUCGAUGUAAGCUGGGCAUGCGUCCAAUUAGCUAGUUGGUGAGGUAACGGCUCACCAAGGCAAUGAUUGGUAGGGGAACUGAGAGGUCAAUCCCCCACACUGGCACUGAGAUACGGGCCAGACUCCUACGGGAGGCAGCAGUAGGGAAUAUUGGGCAAUGGACGCAAGUCUGACCCAGCCAUGCCGCGUGCAGGAUGAAGGCGUUAUGCGUUGUAAACUGCUUUUAUACAGGAAGAAACGACUCUUGCGAGAGGCAUUGACGGUACUGUAUGAAUAAGCACCGGCUACUCCGUGCCAGCCGCCGCAGUAAGAC
rnacentral:rRNA from 1 species